ensembl:lncRNA
GGGCAGGACGUUUGUUCCAUUCUUCUGCUCAGAUAGUCUUGGGGACAAGUGCCUGCCGCAAACUGAGAAGGGAAUCUGGUUUUCGCCUUUGUUGUGUCCAGAGGCCGAGAGAGGCAGCAGCACUGGGUCUCCUCCAUCACACAGGAUGGGGUUUGAGAGGAACAAGGACAGUUUUCUCAGGAUCGUAAGAGUUUCCAAGGGCGGCCUACGCAUGAUAAUUCACUUUCUAAAAACAACCUGUGCAGCUCGCGUGCCUCUGAUGCUGCCUCUCUGCUCAGACCUGGCUCCUGCUGUCUGCAGCUCGAGAAGAGCACCCUCCCUUCACACUCGGUGCCCCUCAGCCUUAGCCCCUUCUUCCUUGGGGUCGGCCCUGGGGAGGUUGGGGUCAGGUGCCCCCAACCCCUUGUGAGUGGCAGUGUCCUGCGGCUGUGCUGGGGCCCUGGGAGCGGCUUGCCUUGGACUCAAUUCAAGCUCCACGUUGGUAACAUCAAAGUGCUCUCUCCUCAUUGGACCGUUUUCAGGAACUGACAUCAGUUUUCAUGUAGCUUAAGCUUAAAAAGGAGACAUGGAUUUGAUCCCUGAUCUGGGAAGAUCCCACAUGCCUUGGAGCAGCUGAGCUUGUGUGCCACAGCUGCUGAGCCUGCUUUCUAGAGCCUGGGAGCUGCAACUACCGUGGCCGGGCACCCUAGAGCCCAUGCUCAGAAACGGGAGAAGCCGCCACGGUGAGAAGCCCACGUACCACAACUGGAGAGUAGCCGCCACUCACCGCAACUAGAGGAAAGCCUACGGAGCAAUGAAGACCCAGCACAACCAAAUAAAUUAAUUUUUUAAAAAAAGUGAAUUCUGUCAGAUUUGUGAUUAGUUAGUAGAAAAUGCUUAAGAACAAAGAGCAUUUUGGUAACUAGAGGGUCAGAU